GACGAACGCUGGCGGCGUGCUUAACACAUGCAAGUCGAACGGAAAGGCCCUGCUUUUGUGGGGUGCUCGAGUGGCGAACGGGUGAGUAACACGUGAGUAACCUGCCCUUUACUUUGUGAUAACUUCAGGAAACUGGGGCUAAUACCUGAUAGGAGCUCCUGCUGCAUGGUGGGGUUUGGAAAGUUUCGGCGGUUGGGGAUGGACUCGCGGCUUAUCAGCUUGUUGGUGGGGGAGUGGCUUACCAAGGCUUUGACGGGUAGCCGGCCUGAGAGGGUGACCGGCCACAAUGGGACUGAGAGACGGCCCAGACUCCUACGGGAGGCAGCAGUGGGGAAUAUUGCACAAUGGGCGGAAGCCUGAUGCAGAAACGCCGCGUGCGGGAUGACGGCCUUCGGGUUGUAAACCGCUUUCGCCUGUGACGAAGCGUGAGUGACGGUAAUGGGUAAAGAAGCACCGGCUAACUACGUG
rnacentral:rRNA from 1 species